rnacentral:rRNA from 1 species
UACGUAGGGUGCGAGCGUUGUCCGGAAUUAUUGGGCGUAAAGAGCUUGUAGGCGGUUUGUCGCGUCUGCUGUGAAAAUCCGGGGCUCAACCCCGGACUUGCAGUGGGUACGGGCAGACUAGAGUGUGGUAGGGGAGACUGGAAUUCCUGGUGUAGCGGUGGAAUGCGCAGAUAUCAGGAGGAACACCGAUGGCGAAGGCAGGUCUCUGGGCCACUACUGACGCUGAGAAGCGAAAGCAUGGGGAGCGAACGGG